AUAACGUUGCUGGCCAUGGAGUAAGACUGGCGCAGACAUCUCUACUCUCAGAGUGUUACUCUGGACUGAGCCAGAUUACCUGACUACCUUGGAGCAGGCUCUACAGCCAUCUACCCUGAAAUGCUCAAAUGACUGAUGGCUCAUCUCUAUCAACACCAUUGAAGCUCUCUGCUGAAUGUGCACAUCACAAGUUCAUGCACAUCUCUGGGCAAGAAACAAGGACCGUAGUCAAGACAAGCCACUGAAAACAGUUUGCAAAUGGGGCCAUUUCCACAGUUGCAUCCGAGAUACAGAAAAACCAUAGAGAAUGUGGAUGUGAAGGAUGACCUCAUGCCACGGAUGCACAGAUAAAAUUCAGCCUGGGAAGGGAAAGAGAAAAAGAGGCUUGGAUACACCAUGCACAAAACCAUCUCCCAUGGCUUCUCCUUGAAAAGGGCUCUCAGCAGGUGAGGUGAGCCCUUGAGCAAUGACAGCCCUGACUUGCAUACAAGCCAACCUUCCAUUGGAUCUGGGGGACUCUGCAGCUGAUGGCCUGUGUGCUGUAUGGCUUGGAGAGACUACGCAGCCAUGUAGAGCCUCUGCCUUUAGCUGGUGCCUCAUAGCUCUGGCAUUUCCAGCAUCUUGGAGUGUUCACUGCGACCCAUUUUCCCACUCUCAGAGCUUCAUGAAAUGGCCUUUCAGUUUUGCAGAGGGCCACCAACCAUACAUUGCCUGGCCUCAGCAGCUCUCUGAAACUUUGGAUGAAGGAUCCACGAGCUUCUCUCUUGUACCCAGUGUGUCCUGAUUCCUGAGGAAAAGCUCCAGCUUUGGAAGGGCCUCAGAAGGAGCUUUGUAAAAAUGAAUAACGAAGACCUGAACUCUGAUGAGGACCCUCCCGUGCCAUUUCUGCCAGCGGCUGCAGUGCGAUUGAAGGGGCCCGGGAAAACUGCUCUGAUGAGGACCCUCCCGUGCCAUUUCUGCCAGCGGCUGCAGUGCGAUUGAAGGGGCCCGGGAAAACUGAGACUCUGCUCCUCAGGCAUCUUUGAGAGCGAGUGGCCAGGGAUCCGAGGUAUCUUCCUGCACCCAGGAACUGGAAGGAGCAGGAAAGUGCCCCUGGGAUCCUGAAUGUGGUGUCCUCAUAAGCAAGAAACUGACUGAGCUUGGGCUGACUCUGAAAGAACAGAACCUGAGAGCUGAGAGGCUCCUGCGGCUCUCUCCACUCUCUCUGCUCUCUCUGUAGCUCAUCUCUAGCAACCGUCCCAGGCGAUGCCAAAGCUUGGCUUCACUCCAGUACCUGGGAAGAAGGUGAAUUAUGGCAGAUGCAGUCUGCCUUCCAAACGGUUUACAAAUGGCUUGUCUGCACCACAAGACACUGGCUUGCCCAAAGGGCUCUAAACCAACAGCCAAGCCAUUUGUCUAGUGAGUGAAGCAACAGAGUUGAAGUGAAAGGAGAGGCUCAGGGCUGGAGCCUGGGAAAAAGACGCCCAUCUCAGGGUUUGCUCAAUGCUUGGAAGAGGGAUGGUGUGGUGCUAGCCCAUGACUCGUCUCUGCAGAUGUCCCCUAUAAAGCAUUAAGCCA
rnacentral:lncRNA from 1 species